rnacentral:lncRNA from 1 species
GUUUGCUAAAAGACGUAGGGUAUGGGAGGAAGAUAUGGCGUAUAAAUACCUCUUUUAAAUAAUAGCUCAGGGGCAGCUGGAUGGCUCAGUGGAUUGAGAGCCAGACCCAGAGACAGGAGGUCUUGGGUUCAAAUCUGGUCUCAGAUACUUCCUAGCUGUCUGACCCUGGUCAAGUCACUUAAUCCCCAUUGCCUAGCCCUUACCAUUCUUCUGCCUUAAAAAUCAAUAGACAGUAUUGAUUCUAAGAUAGAAAGUAAGGGUUUUUUUUUUUAAUAAAAUAAAAUAAUGGCUCACCUAUAUAUGGCUUUAACCUUUCCAAAGCACUUUCCUCACAACAUGCUUGCGAGAUGGGUAAUAUAAAUUGUCCCUAUUUUACAGAAGCAGAAACUGAGGCACAAAGUAGUUACAGAAAUUGCCUGAGAUCAUAGUGCUAGUAAUUUUGGAGCUGUGUCUGAAUCCAAAUCUUUUGACUCCAAGAUGGAAAGUAGAGGAAAGAUCUUGAAAUUCACAACACAUGGCCUCAUGGAGGGAAAGCAAAAGAUGCCAUACACCCUGAGCAAUCAAUUUUGGCAAGAGGAAGCAGAACCAGACCAAGGAAGAACUUAGUCUGGGAUGUGACUCACUAGGGGAAUAUCAUCAUCUGGUAAAUUCCUAUUUUAACUAAUUAUUCUUGAUCAUCAUUGCUAAGUUCAGUUGUUUAUACCUGCAAAAA